rnacentral:lncRNA from 1 species
CAGCAACUAUAAUGACUCGGACUUAAGGGAAACAAGUAGCGGCAGCACCGGUGGUGGUUCUGGCAACAACAGCGCCAUACCCAUUGACCAGAAACCUCGACAGCGGCGGCGGCAGAAGAACGGCGACCUCAAUGUGACUUUCCAGCGGCCAGAGGUGCAGUGGCUCUUGCGGCAGCAGCGAGCCACUCCAACAACCCCUUGUGCAAGCUCUCUUCCUCCGGCAGCGACCCAGACGGCGACGACUCUCCACGGAUGGCGGCGGGCCUUCAGCGGCGGUGCAGUUCCAGUGACGACGGUGCAUGGCAGGACAGCGUUCCUCUCUUCCUCGAGCUCUCCCUCUCACUGGCGCUCAAGGACGACGGCGAGGGUGGCUUCAAUGGCGGCGGUUGCAGCUCACGACGACAGAGACGCUCCUCCGCGACGGCGCAGUUGGCCACGAUGGGCAUGAACGGCAGCAGCGACCUCCCUCUCUUCUCCGCGUCAGUGUAGGUGCGUGUGUGUGGGGAUGAGCGACGGCGUGAGGGUGAGCGAGAGGAGUGCGUCCGUGAGUGUGUGUUUCUACGAAGAGGGUGUGGGAGGAGCCGGGGUGGGAGCUCGACGGCUAGUGAGGGACUGAGGGUUGAGAGAGUGUUUUUGUGUGAUUAGGGUUAGGGAAAAAGUAAAGGAAGAGUGGCCCACAAAUUUGUUUUGUUUUGUUUUUUUUUUUGAGCUAUUACAUUCUUCCCUCCUUUAGAAAUUCGGUCCCCGAAUUUCAACUUACUAUUAUAUUUUCUCUUCGGCAGUACAAGUCACAUCUAUUUCAUACAACUAGACCCUGAUGCAAGAAAUGAUGCAUUUAGGAAUAAGGAAAGAAAACAACAUUGAGACAACCUUAUCCGAAAGAAGUAUAACCACAUCAUGACACCAUAAGUUUAAUAAUUUGCACAAAUAGAUAGCAAGAACAAGGCUAAAAAUCAAGCUAUCUGAGCAAAGUUGCAGGAAAGAACUUAAGCAGUUUAACUAUACAAUAUUAUAUCCAGAUACAAAUUGAACCCAAUGCAUAACGAAAAACAUUUUGCAGAUAUUAUGCAACGAUCAAAUGCUGUACAUUUUCUUAAUAUUCACAUAUACAAUGUAGCAAAAGGAAUCGAUAUGAAGCACCAUCAAUCACAAAGAACAGAUUGCAUAAUUAGAAUGAUAUGAAAAAUUUCAAAAGCACACUACAAACUCUAAUUGGAGUCCAAAUAACAUAGCCAAAAGUGUAAAACAUAUAGAGUAACACAAAUUCCAACAAUACACCCAAAACAUAAAGCAAUAAUUAAAAAGCACAGUCCUAUGAGAUUCCAAGAGUUCGAGUUCAAUUAUGUGGUGGAUAAGGAUGAGAAAAAAGAGAGGCAAGGUGAAGAAUUAAGCAUAAUGUACAUGGCCAGAAUUCCAGAUUUAGAGACAAACAUAGCCACCACAUCAAACCAAGCAUGCAAGAUACAGCCAACAAAACAUUUUCAAAUCAUAUUAUGCAUAUUAACCUUAAAUGUCAAGUGAUAAGAGGUAGGAAGGUUAAACAGAAGGAAUGAAUUUAAUCGAUCUACAAGACUCUUUAAAGGCAUUGUGAAAGCAGCAUAUUAGUAUGAAUAGUUCCGCUUACUCAAACAUAGCAUUGGCCCUAGCCAUCCUUUAGGUUAGCAAUCGACAAUCCCAAAUAAUAAACUAACAAAUGUGCUACAUAUACACCAAUUGAUAAACAAACAAAAUGCCAUUAGUUGGGAAACAAUACCACCAAUCUAGCAAAGUUUUGAAUUUCAUUACUCAACCACCAUUACAAUGCAGCGCACUCAAGGAGUAAUAGAACCACGGAUUUAGUGAAGCUCAAGAAUAUCGACAGGCGACAACAUAUUUCAAUUACUUGCAAUCCUGAGCAACUUGAAACCAGCAAAGUGAUGUCUCAAGAAAGUCAUACAACAUAGGAUCAGUUAAGCAGCAGACUAAUUGAAGACUAAUGAAUCAAUGUGACUGCCUCAAAAAUUCGAUCAUGUUAAGAACUUUGCAAAGCCUAUAUAUCUUUGGAAGAAAAAUGGUUGAUACAACAAUUUAAAAUAAAUUGUACUUAGAUCAUGAUGUGCAAAUUUAAAGAAUAAUAGUACAACUGAUAAUCAAACCCUUAACGUAUGAAGAAAUGUCAACCUAAGAUGUGGGCUAUGAACUAAGGCAAAAUACUAGUAGUAAAAACAGUCGAUUUUCAGAAUUUCUAACAGACAAUAUUCAAAAUACACUGUGAUUGUUACCAAGGAAAAUUUUGGCCAAAAAGGAACAACUUAACACAAAACCCUCAGUGCAGAGACUCUUUAAUCAAUUAAAAUCCUUAUUGGGCAAACAAGGUAGGAUCCGCGACAUAGUUAGAUAAUCAACAAAACCAUGGGGUAAUAGAAACUAUUGAUUCUGCAAAUGAAACAAAAUCAGAAAAAGAAAACCCCCCCCUUUUUUUUUGAGACCAUCAGUAAGAAGGAGUAACUUAAUACAAAGCCAGCUACUAAAUAUCACCAAAAUUCAAAACUACAUAACAAAAACAACAAUCCUAUUAGCCAAGAUAAUCCAGCCAAAAGUACAAAACUAAUUUAUCUCACCGCCUUUCACUAUUAAAACAAAUGAAUCAAAGCUCAACAGGCUGUAAAAGGACAAGCUGAUAAAUUUAUUACACUCGAGCACAUAGUCUGCAAUCACACAAUUACCAGAAGCAUAUAAAGCAUCUGCACCCAAUAAGCGAUGAUAGAUCUGAAUCAAACAUCCAUUUGCAACUCAAUUCAUUUCACAACCAUCACUUGAGAAAAUUAUAUAGUAACAAAAAUAGUUUAUUGACAAAAAUAUUUAUGAUGCUUGGCAUUACUUAAAAACCAAAGAAAUCGUCGGUGUGUCACUACAAAGUAACACAACACACAGCUUUCGAAAUACGUACAAAAAUAUAAUUGUAACUUUGUAAGGGCAAAGGCCAUAGAGGUAAAUAAAAAGAUGUACCACCACAACUAAAACCAUGUGCUAGGAGCAUUUUAAAGGGAAAAAUGAAGAAACAAGCCAAAUCCACAAACAAUUUGGGCAGAGCAAAAUAAAAAUUCACGAGUAUAAAUAAUAGACAUAAACAGGUUUUGCAUGUACAACAACCAUUUAAACUAGAGAAAAGGGAAGAAAAAAAACAUAAUUAGACACGGCACGUGAACAAAUAAGCUAAACCCAUAAAUAAAGCAAAGCAAAAUGAACAUUCAUCAGAAAAUUGUAAAAGAUGUGCCACUCUAAAAAUAGAAACACGAUAAUCCUAUAUAUAAGAAACCGUCACAUAACACAGAUUAUAUGAUAAGCACAAUACUUGAUAGUUUUGACAUGUUAAAAAUUAAUUAGGUUUAAAAAAAAAUGUAGAAAAAAAGAAAAAUAAACAAGGCAAGGUCAUUAAACAUUUUUUUUAUUGAGAAUGUGAAUGCAAUACUAAACAUUUUUACAUAAAUCUUACAGUGCUGACUAGAGUAACUAACUUUUAUGUUAAGCAUCAUAUAAUGGACCACCAAUGAGAUAAUAUUGAGUAAACUUUAGAACAACAUGCUGAAAGAGUUGGAACAACUUUUCUAGUCAAUAAAAUAAUUAAUUUUGAAGAAAAAAAAUUCAGAUGCUCAAGUGUGUCACAAAAGUAUUGUACAGAUCACAAGUUUAUCAUGACAAACUUCAAUUCGAAAUUAUCAAGUCCUCAUCGUAUCAAAGAAAUCAAAACAUUUAUUAAUCCGUCAUAUAUAACUACAAAUCAGGCAUAUAAUCUCCAACAACAACACAAGCAAUUAAGAGGGUUUAUUACCGCCUUUCAAUAGAAAUUUUUUUUACAAGAUAACAACCAAGAUUCACCUAGUUACAGUCACAUCAGUCACCAAUUCAGCAACAAAUAGUAAGAUUAACUCCUAUACAGCAGCAAAAACCAAUAACCUUAUGGAUCUCUCAAAUAAUUAACCAAAAUCAUCUACUUGUUAAUUACUGUAAUAAUCACUAAUCAAAUGACAUGAAUCAGCAAACAAGUAUCUAAUCAGUGGCUACCACUCAUAAGCAAGCUACAAUUUAUCACAUUUAAAAUAAUCAUCAAAUGCUUCAUAAUCACCAUGAUCAGUCCACAAGCUCAGCAAACAAGCCUAUAAAAUUAGAAAUCACAUAUAAUCUAAGAGACGUAUUCACUUCUUAACAUAUAAACAAGAAGAUUCUACCUGAGUGAAGCUCAAAUGUGUUUUUCAUACAACCAGUUAUACUAAGUAUAGAACUUUAGCACUCAAUUUGGUUAACAUCCAAAUGUUAAUAUCAACUAUGAAAAUUUCAAUGAUCUUGGACAAAGACAACUUUCUCAAAGAAACUCAUGCUGUGGAUUUAGUCUCUUUAAAAUCAAUUAUCUAUCAUCCGUAUUAUAGUUAGCAAACUUAUUUAACAUUUGUUUAACUAGAAACUAAAUAAACACACAUUUCAAACGGAUCAUAACAAUUAAAGAUCGAACAGAACCUAAAACAAUAUAAUGAUUUAAUGUCUUAAAGUAGAUGAAAGUGGGGCUAAAUAUCAAUUCAUAUUAUGUACCAUUACUCAAAACAUUCUAUUUCGAUAAAAAAAUUUCACAAACUUUAAAUUUAUUAGAGAAUAAGUCGAGAUUGGGUACAAAGGGAAGGAAACGAGUCGCAAGAAGUGGCAGGAAAGGAAAAGAGUAGCAAGAAGCGGCUGGAAAGGAAAAUAGUGGCAAGAAACGGCAGAGGUCAUAUGUUACAACCAGAUGACAACAACGACAUAAAGGACAAGAAUGACAAUCCUAUAGGCCUCUGAUAGUGCCACAAUUUAUACAAAUAGGCGCGCUUCUAUUUAUACAAUUAUGAUCCUACCAUAGGACACUUGCUCCAUAUUACACAGAUUAAACCUAAGCUCUGAUACCACUCUGUCACGACCCAAAAUGAGCCAUGACUGACGCUCAGGAAAAUAAUCCUAUAGCAAGCCUAACAUAGUCAAAUAUAAGUUCAAUAAGCAAGUACAAAUAUUUUACAAGUUCUAAAAUAAAUAGUUAUAUAUUUUUAACAAAAAAUUAAAAUAACUAAGAAUGGUUGGUCCUGCCUGUGACAUAUGGAGCAUAUACUUCUAGGAAUUCGACAAAGAAUAGGUACUCAUUGCAGACCGUUACUCUUGAAUAGAAAGUCUCACACAGUCAAAUAUUUGUUCCUGAAAAAUAUUUUUAGAAAAACGGGGUGAGUUUUGCAACUCAGUGACCAGACAAUACAUCUAUAAUCAACAUGAGACUAUACAAACAUUAUCAUCAAAGUAAUUUUAAUUAGAAAGUAAUAGUUGAUAAUAAGUGAAUCAAUAAGGGAGUUCUCAUACAGAAAUCAAAUCAAAAGUCCACACUUGGGCGGCUCCACCUCUAUGGGUAGCCCUUUCCUCUUGUGUGUCCUAACAGAAUAACAGAUCUAACGUGUGGCCUACACGUUAGGCUAGCAACACCCCUGCUAGGUGGAGUCUGAGUUAGAUGCAUCUAAGUUAACGUCAUAACCGCCGUUAACUACGGUUUUCUAAUACGAGCCUCCCAAACCAAUUCAAAACAUAUAAUUUCAAAUACAACAAAUAUUUGAUCUUUCAAAUAUAUAAGGUAUCGAAUCGAAUCGAAUCAAAUCAAAUCAAAUCAGAUAAUACUUUUUCAUCAGAAAUCUUUUCUCAAUCAUACUUUUUCAACCAUAAGAGAUUUCAAAUAUAUUUCACAAUUUUUAGAGUGAGUAUCAACAAAUACUUCAAUGCUUCAAAAAUAAAUAUUCAAAUAAAAUCAAACAUUUUAGAAUAAUGCAAAACUUCAUCAAAAAUAUAUAUAGUCUCAUGUAUAGUUCCAAAAGUAUAAACUUCAUAAAAAUGAGUUAUUUAAUUCUAAUAAAUCAAUUAUUUUAAUCAAUUCAAAACCGUUCAAAGCAAAUAUAGCUAUAAUUCAAAGAUCAUAAUAUAUAUAUAUCAAAAUAAUUGUAGAUGCACAAUCAAACAAUCAUAAAUGUAAAGCCUACUCACAACGUAGUCCCUAGGGACCGAAGAUACCAAACCCAGAGUGCCAAAUUCAAGGUAAGGAGGAUUGAAGUGGAAUGGAAUGAAUGAGCGUAGAAUUUGAACCGGAGUAGCAACAAGAUAGAGCUGGCUAUAGUUCUCGAUUGUUAAAACUAUAAUCCAAACGCGCCGACGGAACCUUUCCUCUCAACCCGAAAUUGCGGCAGCACAACCUCAGCUCCAAAUCACUUUCUCAGCAACUACAAUGACUCAGACUUAAGGAAAACAAGUAGCGGCAGCACCGGUGGUGGUUCUGGCAAGAACAGCGCCAUACCCAUUGACCAGAAACCCCGACAGCGGCGGCGGCAGAAGAACGGCGACCUCAAUGUGACUUUCCAGCGGCCAGAGGUGCAGUGGCUCUUGCGGCAGCAGCGAGCCACUCCAACAACCCCUUGUGCAAGCUCUCUUCCUCCGGCAGCGACCCAGACGGCGACGACUCUCCACGGACGGCGGCGGGCCUUCGGCGGCGGUGCAGCUCCAGUGACGACGGUGUAUGGCGGGACAGCGUUCCUCUCUUCCUCGAGCUCUCCCUCUCACUGGCGCUCAAGGACGACGGCGAGGGUGGCUUCAAUGGCGGCGGUUGCAGCUCGC